GGUAGAGUUUGAUCCUGGCUCAGAAUGAACGCUGGCGGCGUGCUUUACACAUGCAAGUUGAGCGAGGCCGGGGAGCAAUCCCCGAGUCGAGCGGCGAACGGGUGAGUAACGCGUGGAUGACCUGCCCUUUAGUGGGGAAUAACCCGGGGAAACUCGGGCUAAUACCGCAUAAGACCGAGAGGUGAAAGCGGGGUCGCAAGAUCUCGUGCUAAUGGAGGGGUCCGCGUUCGAUUAGCUAGUUGGUAGGGUAAUGGCCUACCAAGGCGACGAUCGAUGGCCGGCCUGAGAGGGUGAUCGGCCACACUGGAACUGAGACACGGUCCAGACUCCUACGGGAGGCAGCAGUGGGGAAUUUUGCGCAAUGGGCUAACGCCUGACGCAGCAACGCCGCGUGGAGGAUGAAGGUCUUUGGAUUGUAAACUCCUGUCAGCAGGGAAAAAGGGAUAGGGCCUAUACUUCCUAAACUUGAUUGUACCUGCAGAGGAAGCCCCGGCUAACUCUGUGCCAGCAGCCGCGGUAAUACAGAGGGGGCAAGCGUUAUUCGGAAUUAUUGGGCGUAAAGGGCGCGUAGGCGGCUUUUCAAGUGACUGGUGAAAUCCCUCGGCUUAACCGAGGAACUGCCUGUCAGACUGGAAGGCUUGAGACCGGGAGAGGUGAGUGGAAUUCCCAGUGUAGCGGUGAAAUGCGUAGAUAUUGGGAGGAACACCAGUGGCGAAGGCGGCUCACUGGACCGGAACUGACGCUGAGGCGCGAAAGCGUGGGGAGCAAACAGGAUUAGAUACCCUGGUAGUCCACGCCCUAAACGAUGUCAACUAGUUGUCGGGGAAGUAAUUCCUUGGUAACGAAGCUAACGCGUGAAGUUGACCGCCUGGGGAGUACGGCCGCAAGGUUAAAACUCAAAGGAAUUGACGGGGACCCGCACAAGCGGUGGAUUAUGUGGAUUAAUUCGAUGCAACGCGAAAAACCUUACCUACCCUUGACAUGUGCGGAAAGGGGUAGAGAUACCCUGGUGCCCGAAAGGGAACCGCAACACAGGUGCUGCAUGGCUGUCGUCAGCUCGUGUCGUGAGAUGUUGGGUUAAGUCCCGCAACGAACGCAACCCUUGCCAUUAGUUGCCACAUUCAGUUGGGCACUCUAAUGGGACUGCCGGUGACAAACCGGAGGAAGGUGGGGACGACGUCAAGUCCUCAUGGCCCUUAUGGGUAGGGCUUCACACGUAAUACAAUGGCCGGUACAGAGGGCUGCCAACCCGCGAGGGGGAGCAAAUCCCAGAAAGCCGGUCGUAGUCCGGAUUGUUCUCUGCAACUCGAGAGCAUGAAGUCGGAAUCGCUAGUAAUCGCGGAUCAGCAUGUCGCGGUGAAUACGUUCCCGGGUCUUGUACACACCGCCCGUCACACCAUGGGAGUGGGUUUCACCAGAAGUAGUUAGCCUAACCGCAAGGAGGGCAACUACCACGGUGAGAUUCAUGACUGGGGUGAAGUCGUAACAAGGUAACC
rnacentral:rRNA from 1 species